rnacentral:rRNA from 1 species
CCUACGGGAGGCUGCAGUGGGGAAUAUUGCACAAUGGGGGAAACCCUGAUGCAGCAACGCCGCGUGAAGGAAGACGGUUUUCGGAUUGUAAACUUCUAUCAAUAGGGAAGAAAGAAAUGACGGUACCUAAAUAAGAAGCCCCGGCUAACUACGUGCCAGCAGCCGCGGUAAUACGUAGGGGGCAAGCGUUAUCCGGAAUUACUGGGUGUAAAGGGAGAGUAGGCGGCAAGGUAAGCGAUAUGUGAAAGCCUUAAGCUUAACUAAAGGAUUGCAUAACGAACUAUCUAGCUAGAGUACAGGAGAGGAAAGCGGAAUUCCUAGUGUAGCGGUGAAAUGCGUAGAUAUUAGGAAGAACACCAGUGGCGAAGGCGGCUUUCUGGACUGAAACUGACGCUGAGGCUCGAAAGCGUGGAGAGCGAACAGGAUUAGAUACCCGAGUGUC